UGCCAGCAGCCGCGGUAAUACGGAGGGUCCAAGCGUUGUCCGGAUUUAUUGGGUUUAAAGGGUACGUAGGCGGGAUAUUAAGUCAGUGGUGAAAGCCUCCAGCUCAACUGGAGAACUGCCAUUGAAACUGAUAUUCUUGAGUUUGGUUGAGGUGGUUGGAAUAUAACAUGUAGCGGUGAAAUGCUUAGAUAUGUUAUAGAACACCAAUUGCGAAGGCAGAUCACUAAACCAAUACUGACGCUGAGGUACGAAAGCGUGGGGAGCGAACAGGAUUAGAUA
rnacentral:rRNA from 1 species